rfam:Desulfocapsa sulfexigens DSM 10523, complete genome.
GAAUAAGCUAUUAAGAGCUAACGGCGGAUGCCUUGGCAUCGGAAGGCGAUGAAGGACGUGGAAAGCUGCGAUAAGCUUCGGGGAGUUGUUAACAUGCUUUGAUCCGGAGAUUUCCGAAUGGGGAAACCCAGCAGGAGUUAUAUCCUGUUAUCCUUGACUGAAUACAUAGGUCAUGGAGGCGAACGUAGGGAACUGAAACAUCUAAGUACCUGCAGGAAUAGAAAUCAAUUGAGAUUCUGUGAGUAGCGGCGAGCGAAAGCGGAAAAGCCCAAACCAGACUUUGUCUGGGGUUGUAGGACCCCAAUGUGGGAUUAGUGAUGAUUAGUGGAAAGGUAUGGAAAGGCCUACCAUAGACGGUGAUAGUCCGGUAUACGAAAAUCUGAUCUACCCUAGGGAGUUCCUGAGUACCACGAGACACGUGAAACCUUGUGGGAAUCUAGGAGGACCAUCUUCUAAGGCUAAAUACUAACCGAUGACCGAUAGUGAACAAGUACCGUGAGGGAAAGGUGAAAAGAACGGGGGAACCCGAGUGAAAUAGACACUGAAACCGUUAGCUUACAAGCAGUCGGAGCACUAUGUAUUUAUACAGUGUGACGGCGUGCCUUUUGCAUAAUGAGUCAACGACUUACCGUGUGCAGCAAGGUUAAGCCGCGAGGUGGAGCCGUAGCGAAAGCGAGUCUUAAUAGGGCGAUAGUUGCAUGCGGUAGACCCGAAGCCGGGUGAUCUAUCCAUGGCCAGGGUGAAGUCUCGGUAACACGAGAUGGAGGCCCGAACCGAUAUAGGUUGAAAACUGUUCGGAUGAGCUGUGGAUAGGAGUGAAAGGCUAAUCAAACUCGGUGAUAGCUGGUUUUCUCCGAAAUAUAUUUAGGUAUAGCCUCGUAUGAUGACUGACGGAGGUAGAGCACUGACAAGGUUAGGGGUCCCACCGGAUUACCAACCCUUUUCAAACUCCGAAUGCCGUCAAGUUCUAGUACGGGAGUCAGACUGUGGGAGAUAAGUUCCAUGGUCGAAAGGGAAAGAACCCAGACCGUCAGCUAAGGUCCCUAAACUGUGCUAAGUGGAAAAGGAUGUGGAAUUGUUGAUACAACCAGGAGGUUGGCUUAGAAGCAGCAACCCUUUAAAGAAAGCGUAACAGCUCACUGGUCUAAUGAAUCUGCGCCGAAAAUUUAUCGGGGCUCAAGCACAGUACCGAAGCUACGGAUUCAGCAAACUGAUUCAAGCAUAUCAGCAUGAAGUGGAUACGAAUUUCACGAGCGUCUUAUUUGCUCGUCAAAUUCCUCCCACGAAAGCGCCAUCUACUUUGAUGGUUAUAUGUUGAUGUUUUUGAAUCAGUUUGCUGAAUGGUAGGAGAACAUUGUGGCCGCCUGAGAAGGUACACCGUAAGGAGUGCUGGAGGUUCCACAAGAGCUUAUGUUGACACGAGUAGCGAAAAACAAGGUGAGAAACCUUGUCGCCGAAAGCCUCAGGUUUCCUGUAGUCAAGUUAAUCUGCUCAGGGUUAGUCGGCUCCUAAGGCGAGGCCGAGAGGCGUAGUCGAUGGGAAACUGGUUAAUAUUCCAGUACCACUUAUCCAUUGUUAUGGUAAGGGGGGACGGAGAAGGUAAGGCCAUCCGGGCGUUGGUUGUCCCGGUUUAAGCGUGUAGGGGUAAGACUUAGGUAAAUCCGGGUCUUUAUUAACUCUGAGGCGUUAUGACGAAGUCCUAAGGACUACAAAGUGGCUGGUUCCAUGCUUCCAGGAAAAUCCUCGUAUCUAGAUGGAUAUGUGACCGUACCGUAAACCGACACAGGUAGGCAGGUAGAAAAUACCAAGGCGCUUGAGAGAACUUGGGUUAAGGAACUCGGCAAAAUAGCACCGUAACUUCGGGAGAAGGUGUGCCACAACUGGUGAUUGAAUUUACUUCAUGAGCUGGUCGUGGUUGCAGUGAAAUGGGGGGAGCGACUGUUUACUAAAAACACAGGACUCUGCGAAGUCGAAAGACGAAGUAUAGGGUCUGACGCCUGCCCGGUGCCGGAAGGUUAAGGGGACUUGUUAGCGCAAGCGAAGCAAUGAACCGAAGCCCCGGUAAACGGCGGCCGUAACUAUAACGGUCCUAAGGUAGCGAAAUUCCUUGUCGGGUAAGUUCCGACCUGCACGAAUGGCGUAACGAUUUCCCCACUGUCUCAACCCAAGACUCAGCGAAACUGUAGUACCGGUGAAGAUGCCGGUUACCCGCAACAAGACAGAAAGACCCCGUGAACCUUUACUAUAGCUUGGCAUUGGUUUUUGAGGUAACAUGUGUAGGAUAGGUGGGAGACUUUGAAGCGGGCACGCCAGUGUCUGUGGAGUCAUCCUUGAAAUACCACCCUUGUUAUCUUAGGAAUCUAACUGCGGUCCGUGAUCCGGAUCCAGGACAUUGUCUGGUGGGUAGUUUGACUGGGGCGGUCGCCUCCUAAAGAGUAACGGAGGCGCGCGAAGGUUCCCUCAGGCUGAUUGGAAACCAGCCGUAGAGUGCAAAGGCAUAAGGGAGCUUGACUGCGAGAGAGACAUUUCGAGCAGGUACGAAAGUAGGUCUUAGUGAUCCGGCGAUUCCGCAUGGAAGGGUCGUCGCUCAACGGAUAAAAGGUACUCCGGGGAUAACAGGCUUAUCUCCCCCAAGAGUCCAUAUCGACGGGGAGGUUUGGCACCUCGAUGUCGGCUCAUCACAUCCUGGGGCUGAAGCAGGUCCCAAGGGUUUGGCUGUUCGCCAAUUAAAGUGGUACGCGAGCUGGGUUUAAAACGUCGUGAGACAGUUUGGUCCUUAUCUGUUGCGGGCGCAGGAUAUUUGAGGAGAUCUUUUCCUAGUACGAGAGGACCGGAAUGGACGAACCUAUGGUGUUCCAGUUGUUUCGCCAGAAGCAUUGCUGGGUAGCUAAGUUCGGCAGGGAUAACCGCUGAAAGCAUCUAAGCGGGAAGCCCACUCCAAGAUAAGAUAUCCCGGGACAUUAGUCCCCUGAAGGCUCGUUGAAGACUACAACGUUGAUAGGUCAGGUGUGGAAGUGUGGUAACACAUGGAGCUUACUGAUACUAAUAAGCCGUGCGGCUUAUUCAU